UCCCUGGUGGCUCAGACGGUAAAGCGUCUGCCUGCAAUGCAGGAGACAUGGGUUCGAUCCCUGGGUUGGGAA
rnacentral:tRNA from 1 species